GAUGAACGCUGGCGGCGUGCCUAAUACAUGCAAGUCGAGCGAACGGACGAGGAGCUUGCUUCUCUGAUGUUAGCGGCGGACGGGUGAGUAACACGUGGAUAACCUACCUAUAAGACUGGGAUAACUUCGGGAAACCGGAGCUAAUACCGGAUAAUAUUUUGAACCGCAUGGUUCAAAAGUGAAAGACGGUCUUGCUGUCACUUAUAGAUGGAUCCGCGCUGCAUUAGCUAGUUGGUAAGGUAACGGCUUACCAAGGCAACGAUGCAUAGCCGACCUGAGAGGGUGAUCGGCUACACUGGAACUGAGACACGGUCCAGACUCCUACGGGAGGCAGCAGUAGGGAAUCUUCCGCAAUGGGCGAAAGCCUGACGGAGCAACGCCGCGUGAGUGAUGAAGGUCUUCGGAUCGUAAAACUCUGUUAUUAGGGAAGAACAUAUGUGUAAGUAACUGUGCACAUCUUGACGGUACCUAAUCAGAAAGCCACGGCUAACUACGUG
rnacentral:rRNA from 1 species